rnacentral:lncRNA from 1 species
UUUUGAUCUUAGUUUAUUUAAAUCAAACCCUGCCAGGGAAAAGUCACGCUCUCACAUGUGCCCUUGAGGAAAAAAAAUAAUAAAUAAUAAUAAUAAUAAAACGAUCUCGAAAGCUGUUUUGACCACCGCAUUCCUUCAAGCUGGGCGGACUCGCGUUACACCACAGAGACUCGAGCAAGACCACGCUGCCUGAGGAUGUGUAUGUACACACACAGGCGCGCACACACACACCGGCUCCGGAGAAAAAUGCCUUUUCGGGCCGGCUAAACCCACAACUUGGUGUUGAAAAUGGCCCCGUGCUCCCCGCACCGCCGGGACCCGCCGGUCCUCCGCGCCCGCGGGGCUCCCGCGGCUCGGCUGCCUCCCCGCGCCGCCCGCUCCCCCUCGCCGGUCUCUGCCUUAUUUAGGUAACUCGGCAGGAGGCUGAUAAAGAGGCGAUGAUAUUAAAAAGACAGAGAGGGAACAACAAAGAAGCAAGCCAAACCCGAGCAACUCAAACCCAAACCGCGGCGGCCUCUCGGUAUGUCUCAGAAAUGCAGCAGGAGAUUUUGUACUUACAGACAGCGCUAAAGUUCGCUUUAAACCGAGGAAACAGGAUACUCUUUUGCUUCCAAUGAUACAAGCAAUCUCCAGAAACAGCACUGCACUAACCUAGUCCCGAGACCAGUUCCUUCUUUGGAAAGACUCUAAUAUGAGUGACAUGGAAAAUUAAAAAAAAUACUGUGAAAUCUAAAGAUGUUUUCACGUUGUCAUUUCAGAUAUAACCUUCUCUUUCCCCAGAUGACUUUUUUUUUUUUUUUUUUUUUUUUAAUAGUUGAAGUACUAGACUGCCUAAACCUAGCCUCUCUAAAUAAUAUUUAAUAUGAAUGUGGUUAAUUGUAUUGAGCUUCUUCAUAUACUGAUUAUCCUCGGUGCAUUAUCAGGGCACUCUGAAAUGCUCUUCGGUGGCAAGAAAAGAGCCUUAAUAUAAGCGAAAAAAAUGGCUAGUCAUCCUCGAGUAAGAUUUUGUUUUGUAGAGUGCAUGUCAUAGUCCUUUGCAAGCCUGGAAGCAAUGUGAAUCAAACGCCUCGGAAGAAGACCUACGUCGACAGAGGCUCCAUGUAUAGCAGGCGCUAAUUAUUAAAGCUCAUUCCCUGAUUUAGGACUCUAUUUUCCGCAGCGAGCCCAUCACCCUGACACAACGCAGCUCAGGAUGUUUGUUCAAAGCUUAUGAAAAUGUAACCCAACUCAUUGCUAGAAGUUGUUGCUAAUUAGUUGAUAAUAAACUUCUCCGGACAGGACA